GGCGCCGCGGGCCCAGGCGGCCCGGAUGGCGGUCGCGGCGGCAGGGGCAGGGGCUGGGGCCGACGCGGGCGGCAGGCGCGGCUGCCACUGACGGCUAAUCGGGCGCCCGGAGCAGGGGCCGCGGGGGGCAUCCGGAUCCCGCAGACCCUGGGCGGAGGGCUGCCGUCGCGGCCCAGCUGCACGCAGAAGUAAACAUCUGUCAGCGGCGCGUUCCAGCCGCGUUCCCUGCGCGCCGCCGCCGCUGCCGCCGGGGACACGGUGUCCUCCGGUAAGGGCCUAGCUCUCUCAGCUCCUGGAGCCGCUUGUUUAGCCACAAGAGGGCGCGAAACCCUUUGCGGGGGGCGGGGGGGGGGCGCUUAACGGCAAAGACCGGAUUUGAAGGAGAGGAGGCUGUCUUCCUUCCUCGCUUUUUACAAAAGGCAUCUUGCUCAGGAUGGUCUCAGAAUUCUCCCAGAAGGUGCGGUUUGUCAGUUCGCAGUCUUUAGGCCGAGGGGGCUGCAGACAGUGGGCAGAUGUGGGCUGGGACUGGAGAGAGAAGUGGCCUCUCCCAGGGGUGGAAGUCACCAUGGUCCCCUCCCCAAGAAGUACUAGCAUCCAUAUAGCAUGGGGCCACUGGCCUGGCUCAGCGGGCCUGUGGUUACCUGCAUGGCUGGGCCACCAGCCCAGAUUUGGGGAGCAGGACCAGGGGCCUAGGUGGGGGGCAUGGAAGGCCAGACCCCUGACUUUCCUCACUCCUUUAUGCCCCGCCCCCUCACCCCCCACCCCCCCGCCCCCGGCCCUGCAUCCUUUUCUGUCUGUUCCAUGACACUCUUUGUCUUUAAGAGCCCCGGGCUGAGGAAGCCCCAAUGGGGCGUGACUGGUCUAGGCGGAUGUCAGUGGGGGGAGACUCCCAGCUUUGCCAGCUUCUCCCCACCCCCCAGCCCCUUGCCUUGGGCCCUUUGGACACCCCUCCCCACACCCUUCAUUCUAGGACUGCUGAGGUUCGGGGUUCUGCAGCCACUCCCAGCGACCUGCAAAGAGCUAGUUCCAGGGGUGCAGGGAAGAAAACAAAACAUGCCCCCCUGCAGCUGGGCACAGUGUCUGAAAUUCCACCAUCACUGCUUGUCCCUCAGGUUAUAGGCCUUAGUUUUCAGGGGGGUGAGAAGAGGAUAUAGCUUUCAAGAGCCUGGAACAGGAGAGGGAACCAAACAGUCUGCAGCCAGGCACAAGGACACAAUCAAGACAUUGUUUCCACCAAUGUUUGUUGGACAGCGAUGAUGUGCGUGACUCUGUUUGGUGUCAGGCUCCUGGGCCUUGUCCUUCCAGACUUGAAUCCAGGGUGGAGCCCAGAGUGGGGAGCAAAGGCACUACCUCAGGGUAGGAGGGUCAGGGGAGACUUCCUGGAGGAGGGGCAUUGCAGCUGGGGCUAUGAAGGAUGAGUAGGAGUUCUCUAAAUGGGAAAGGCAAGGGCAUUCCAGGUGGUGGGAACUGCAUAUGCAAAGAUCUGGAGGCAGGAAAUAGCAUGGAUGAUUUUGGAAAAUCCAGGGUGCCUGGGGUGACCAUGGGAGGGAGAGACUUUUCUGAAAGGUUGACAGAGGGAGAACUGUACUGGGGCCUUCAAGGACGGAUUCCUAGAGAUGGGGGCUGGAAACACAGAGAGAGGAACGGGUCUUUAAUGCAUCUGGCAUCCCUGGGCCCAGCUGUCUUUGCUGAGAGGCUGUGGGAUUCCUCUGCAGAUGCAAUUUUCCUGGUCCCCCAAGGUGGGGCAGAGGGGUCUGGGGCCCUCGAGGGGAGUUGGGUCUUCCCUCUGCCCUGUGAGCAUCAACUGAGCAGGCGCCAUGGGAGGCUGGUUCUAUUUCGCAGCUGAGAAAACUGAGGCUGAGCGAGCUGGAGGGAUCUUUCCUUAUGCUCAAUGUAAUUAAUUCCCAAGCCCUAAGCUACUGUGUGCCAAGCUGUGUAGUAGGACGAAGCAGAGAACAAGACAGGCCCGGUGCCUGCUGCACUUGGCAGGGCAGGGGUGCAGGUUAGGGGGUGGACAGGAGGCUUUCAAACCAGCCAGCCAGCCUCCUGGACUUUCAGGAGAGGUAACAGCCGCAAAGUAAGCCUGAAUGGGGCCUGGGACACUUCGGCGUGGGUGUUCAGGAGCGGAAAGAUCUUCCCUUCAAAUCCAAGUGAACUCAGGCUUUGGCUGGUCCUGGAAGAAAUCCAGCAGGUGGAUCUCACAUCCCAGUUGAGGAAACCGAGGCCCAGAGAGGGGCCGUGCUGAAAGAGCUCAGUGUGUCAGGGACCCAAGGCAGAAUUUGAACUUGGGGACAUGGAAGAGGUGACUUAGGUCCCCUGGUUCCUAGGAAACCAGUGUGAGGGUUUGAGUUGCAUUGGGGUCUGUGCCUUGGUUUCCCUUUCUGUCAGAUGGUCAGCUUUGUGUGGUGUCCUCCUGGCCACUCCCGGAGGACCCACGUCCCUCACACCACCCACCGGGCCCCAUGCCAGCUGCUUAGCCGUGCCAGGCCUCAUUAGGCUGAUCCUGUUAUUGACCCCCAGGGAGGGCCCCCUGCCUGCCCCAGAUGCCUGCGAGGCCGGUCCCAGACCAGCCUGGCUAAGCCAGACCCGCCUGGUAUGGUUGAGGUGGGAAUUUUACGGGCCAGCUGCAGAGGGCCGGGCCAGAAACGGCGGGUCUGAAAAGCUAGUGGCCCCAACACACACACACACACACACACACACGCACACGCGCGCGCGCAUGCUCCCCGGCCCAGCCUUCCCAAGAACACGCCCGAGUAGCGGCCGGUACAGGAAGAGGGCUCCAGGCACUGGUGGGGAAUGGAGGGCUGACCCUGCGGGGCACAGGACACCCCCUUAUCUUUCCUCAUCUCCCUGUGCUGUCCCCUGGCCGUUUGCUCUGGUCACACUGGUCCCCUUGAAAAGCCAUCAUCCUGCCUCUGAGCCUUUGCUCGUGUGGUUCCCUCCACCUAGAACACUCUUCCUAGAUCUUCAUGUGGGCUCAGCACAAAUGCUGCCUCCUCUGGGAAGCCCUCCUUGACCACUCAGCUUAAAAGCAGCACCAGUCACUAUCGCUUCACCUUGUUUUAUUUGGGGGCUGUUGUUGCACUGUCAACCUCUAAAUUACCUUGUUUCUUUUCUUUCUUUCUUUCUUUGGCUGUGUGGCUUGCGGGAUCUUAGGUUCCCCAACCAGGGAUCGAACCUGGGGCCCCAGCAGUGGAAGCGCUGAGUCCUAACCAGUGGGCCACCAGGGAAUUCCCUAAAUUACCUUCUUUCUUUCUUUUUUUUUAUUAUCCAUCUCCCUGAUUGGAUGGUGAGCUUGGCGAAGAUGGGGGCCCAGGUUGGCCUUGGUCAUCCUGAGUUCCCUGACUAGUGCAGCACACAGUAGGCACUCAAUAAGUGUUGGGUGAAUAUGUUGGGAGCAGAACCCAGCCUGGCACACUGGGCUUUCUGCCAUGUGGGCCAUCUGUUUACUUGCUAGUUCUGCUCUGCUGUGUGUCUUUGAGAAAACCUUUUACUUCCUUGGAUCUCAGCCCCACUGGCCUCCCAAGCAGCAAGACCCUGCUUCUCCCUUUCCCCCCAGCAUCACCCUCGUUACUGGGGUUGUGGAGACACUGAGAGAACAAGUUUAGAGUCAGACCCAGGUUCAACCGCAGCUCAGCCACUUAAUUUCUGUGUGACCUUGCGUGAGUCACUCUACCUCUCCAAGCCUCAGUUUCCCUGUGUGGUAAAUGGGGCUAAUAAUAAUAAUAAUAACAUCUUUUCCAGGGACUGCGGGGAUAAUCAAACAUGUGGAAAGCACUUAGCAGAGUGCUUGGCACUAAAUAAAUGGAAUAGCCAACACUGCCAGGUGUUAGUGUUAUUAUUCUUGGUCUUGUUGUUGUUAUUAGGGAGGCCAUAUGGUACAGUGGUCAAGAAUGUGGAAGAGGGGGCAUUGAGGCUGGGGCUUUGAGGGAUGAGUAGGAGUUUGCCCAACCACCUGAGUUCAAAACCCAGCUUGGCCAUUUAUGCUCUGUUGGACCCUGAGGAAGUCACUUCAGUCUUUUGGACCUCAGUUUUUCUGUCUACAAAAUGGUGAUAAAAUGGUCCACACCUUUCUAUGAGGCACUACAUGUAAAGUGCUCAGAACAGCACCAAUGGUGUUGUUUGCUAGUGUUAGUAUUAGCUAAUUUUUUUUACUACUAUUAUUAACACAAAGCAGCCAACACAGUCUUCCCCAGAAAUCACCCUCUCUGUAUGUCCACCCCUCAGCCUCACUUUGGCAAAGAUAGACCCAGAUCCCCUUAAGGCAAG